UACGUAGGGCGCAAGCGUUGUCCGGAAUUAUUGGGCGUAAAGAGCUCGUAGGCGGCUUGUCACGUCGGGUGUGAAAGCCCGGGCUUAACCCCGGGUCUGCAUUCGAUACGGGCAGGCUAGAGUGUGGUAGGGGAGAUCGGAAUUCCUGGUGUAGCGGUGAAAUGCGCAGAUAUCAGGAGGAACACCGGUGGCGAAGGCGGAUCUCUGGGCCAUUACUGACGCUGGAGGAGCGAAAGCGUGGGGAGCGAAACAGG
rnacentral:rRNA from 1 species